UACGAAGGGGGCUAGCGUUGCUCGGAAUCACUGGGCGUAAAGGGUGCGUAGGCGGGUUUUUAAGUCAGGGGUGAAAUCCUGGAGCUCAACUCCAGAACUGCCUUUGAUACUGAAGAUCUUGAGUUCGGGAGAGGUGAGUGGAACUGCGAGUGUAGAGGUGAAAUUCGUAGAUAUUCGCAAGAACACCAGUGGCGAAGGCGGCUCACUGGCCCGAUACUGACGCUGAGAUGCGAAAGCGUGGGGAGCAAACAGG
rnacentral:rRNA from 1 species